AUGUCGCAAAAGCAAUUUGAGAAUGAGGUUGAUCUUCUGAUGAGACUUGAGCAUCCAAAUAUAGUACGAUUAGUAGGCUACUGCUAUGAAAUAGAAAACGAACACUUCCCUCUCAAUGGGAAAUACGUUUUUGCUGGGAAGGCAGAAAGUUUGCUUUGCCUGGAGUAUCUGCCUAAUGGAAGUCUUGACGAGUUUCUUUCAGAUUCAGAUAAAUCUUCUCGACUUGAUUGGCACACACGCUACAAAAUUAUUGAGGGGACCUGCAGUGGUUUACAGUACCUUCACAAGCAAACUGACGGGCCUAUCAUUCACUUGGAUCUAAAACCCGCUAACUUACUGCUCAAUGAUGCUUUGGAGCCCAAACUUGCAGACUUUGGUCUGUCACGUCUUCUUGAUCAACAAGGAACUGUGUGCACUAUGGAAGUUAAUGGGACAUUAGGAUACAUGCCCCCAGAAUACCUACAAGGUAUACUCGGAACUAUGUCAGACAUAUUCAGUCUGGGUGUAAUAAUCUUGGAGAUAGUAACAGGAGAAAGGAAGUACCCAGAUAAUAUUCCUCCUUUGGAGGAAUUCAUUGAGACUGAGCUUGAAAAAUGGAGAGAUACGCUGCAGAAAGCACCAGGGUAUACAUCCUUAGAGAUAGAUUGCCUACAAAUAAGGAGAUGCAUUCAGGUAGGUCUAAAAUGCAUGAAUCCUUCACGGGCUAAAAGACCUACAAUCACUAAAGUCAUCAAGAUGCUUCAAGGAUUGGGAGGUAUGGAUUGCAAUAUUAGCAAUGAGGUAACGCCAACGGCAGCCCAGAUUAGGUCCGGCCCAAGAGAGUUGCUUGAUAUCCACCCCUUGGAGCUCAGCUUUAGCUUGGAUUCAGACAAGCAGAUCCGUUGCCUCGUAAAGCUAACUAAUAAAACAAAUGAAUGUGUUGCAUUUCAUUUUAAGGUUACGGGGGUAACAAACAAGUACUGCAUUGAACCGGCUGGCAGAUUCCUGUUGCCACGGGAGAUGACUUAUUUAGUUGUAACAAUGGAAACGAGAGGGGAGUUGCCGGCAUUAGACUUGCAGUGCAAUGAUCAAUUCCUUGUACAAAGCAUCAUAGUGAGGGAGGAUAGAGUGACAUCUAAGCCUAUCCCUGGACAGACAUUCGACAAAAUGCCAAUCAGUGUGGUGCACAAGGUAAAGUUGGCGGUUAUACAUGUGCCUGCAGUCAUAGUGAGGAAGGAUAGAGUGACAUCUAAGCCUAUCCCUGGACAUACUUUUGACAAAAUGCCAAUCAGUGUGGUGCACAAGGUAAAGUUGCCGGUUAUUCAUGUGCCUGCAGUCCAAGGAACAUUGAAUCCGCAGCAGUCUGAAGGCUCUCAGGGAAAACUUCUAGGAAGACCAAACAUUUCUGACAAGGAUAAUGAAUACACGCUCGUUGAAUGUUUGGGAAAAGACCUUGGAUAUUGUGCGGGAAAGCCCAUUGCUGCAGUUCUCAUAUAUAAAUGUUUUGUUCAAUGGAGAACUUUCGAGUCGCAGACGACCUCAUCCUUUGACUGUAUUAUUCACUUAAUUGGGAGUGCACUAGAGGACCAGGAUAAUAACGAAACAGCUGCAUAUUGGCUCUCCAAUUCAUUCGCAUUACUCCUACUUAUGAAACGGACAUCCAAAUCAAGUGCAGCAGCUCCUCAGAGACAACGGUUCAUGAGAACUGGAGAUUCACCACAAAGCAGUGUAUUUGGUAGGAUCGAAAAGAGCAAUCUCCAGCAAGCUAUUGAAGCCCAUCCGGCUCUGCUUUUCAAGCAACAGCUUACAGCUUACCUUGAGAAGACGUAUCGAAUGAUAAGAGACAAUUUGAAGAGAGAGAUAUCUCCAUUUCUUGAUCAUUGCAUUCAGGCACCGAGAACAGCUCGCAUAAGUCAGAUUCAUGGAGCUUCUGUGGCAAACGUCUUGGCCCAGCAGAUUGGCCAUUGGCAGAGUAUUGUGAAAAUAAUAACAAACUACCUGGGUGUUUUGAAAUCCAAUCAUGUUCCUUCAUUCUUAAUCUGCAAGAUGUUCGGUCAAAUAUUUUCAUUCAUUAAUGUCCAGUUGUUCAUGAGUCUGCUUCUCCGACGAGCGUGCUGUUCAUUUAGCCACGGAGAAUAUGUCAAGGCUGGAUUGGCAGAGUUAGAACAGUGGAUCAUUGAUGCGACUGAAAAGGUAAUCACAAGUAUGAAAACAAUUAUGACUGAAGAAUCAGAAAAUGGAGUGGUCGUUCCUUUCUUAUUUGAUGAUGACGAAAGCAUUCCAUUUUCGCUGCAAGACCUUCAGAAGUGUGCGCGGGUAUUCGAGGUAACUGAUGUUGAUAUGCCGCCUUUGGUCCUGGAGUAUCCUUGCUUUAACUUCCUACACAAAACAAAGGACAAACUGGACGGCCCGGCCCUCCAAAGUUAA
rnacentral:rRNA from 1 species